rnacentral:rRNA from 1 species
AUUGAACGCUGGCGGCAUGCUUUACACAUGCAAGUCGUACGCGAAAGGGGGGCAACCCCUGAGUAGAGUGGCGCACGGGUGAGUAAUACAUCGGAACGUGUCCUGUAGCGGGGGACAACCUCGAGAAAUCGAGGCUAAUACCGCAUACGUCCUACGGGAGAAAAGUGGGGGAUUCGAGGGAAACUGAGGACCUCACACUAUAGGGGCGGCCGAUGUCGGAUUAGCUAGUUGGCGGGGUAAAGGCCCACCAAGGCGACGAUCCGUAGCUGGUCUGAGAGGAUGAUCANCCACACUGGGACUGAGACACGGCCCAGACUCCUACGGGA